CUAUUGGCUUCAUCGAAGACUUUGUAUAAUGAUUAUAAAAAACCACAUUUACAGGGAUCAACAGCAAGCCAAAAGCAAUUUUUGUAACACGGUCAUGGCUUUGUCUUUUAAAUGAUACUGUCAUAACAUUUUAGUUCAAUUACAUUU